AGUCGAGGGGCAGCAUUUUAGUUUUGCUUGCAAACUAAAGAUGGCGACCGGCGCACGGGCUGAGUAACACGCUAUCCAACCUGCCGAUAACUCGGGGAUAGCCUUUCGAAAGAAAGAUUAAUAUCCGAUAGUAUAUUAAAACCGCAUGGUUUUACUAUUAAAGAAUUUCGGUUAUCGAUGGGGAUGCGUUCCAUUAGUUUGUUGGCGGGGUAACGGCCCACCAAGACUACGAUGGAUAGGGGUUCUGAGAGGAAGGUCCCCCACAUUGGAACUGAGACACGGUCCAAACUCAUACGGGAGGCAGCAGUGAGGAAUAUUGGUCAAUGGACGAGAGUCUGAACCAGCCAAGUAGCGUGAAGGAUGACUGCCCUAUGGGUUGUAAAANUUCUUUUAUAUGGGAAUAAAGUAUUNCCACGUGUGGGAAUUUUUGUAUGUACCAUAUGAAUAAGGAUUCGGCUAACUCCGUGCCAGCAGCCGCGGUAAUACGGAGGAUCCGAGCGUUAUCCGGAUUUAUUGGGUUUAAAGGGGAGCGUAGGUGGAUUGUUAAGUCAGUUGUGAAAGUUUGCGGCUCAACCGUAAAAUUGCAGUUGAAACUGGCAGUCUUGAGUACAGUAGAGGUGGGCGGAAUUCGUGGUGUAGCGGUGAAAUGCUUAGAUAUCACGAAGAACUCCGAUUGCGAAGGCAGCUCACUAGACUGCAACUGACACUGAUGCUCGAAAGUGUGGGUAUCAAACAGGAUUAGAUACCCUGGUAGUCCACACAGUAAACGAUGAAUACUCGCUGUUUGCGAUAUACAGUAAGCGGCCAAGCGAAAGCAUUAAGUAUUCCACCUGGGGAGUACGCCGGCAACGGUGAAACUCAAAGGAAUUGACGGGGGCCCGCACAAGCNGGAGGAACAUGUGGNUUUAAUUCGAUGAUACGCGAGGAACCUUACCCCGGGCUUNAAAUUGCAUUUGAAUAAUCUGGAAACAGGUUAGCCGCAAGGCAAAUGUGAANGGUGCUGCAUGGUUGUCGUCAGCUCGUGCCGUGAGGUGUCGGCUUAAGUGCCAUAACGAGCGCAACCCUUAUCUUUAGUUACUAACAGGUNAUGCUGAGGACUCUAGAGAGACUGCCGUCGUAAGAUGUGAGGAAGGUGGGGAUGACGUCAAAUCAGCACGGCCCUUACGUCCGGGGCUACACACGUGUUACAAUGGGGGGUACAGAAGGCAGCUACCUGGCGACAGGAUGCUAAUCCCAAAAACCUCUCUCAGUUCGGAUCGAAGUCUGCAACCCGACUUCGUGAAGCUGGAUUCGCUAGUAAUCGCGCAUCAGCCAUGGCGCGGUGAAUACGUUCCCGGGCCUUGUUCNAAAGGGCCCGUCAAGCCAUGAAAGCCGGGGGUACCUGAAGUACGUACCGCAA
rnacentral:rRNA from 1 species